rnacentral:rRNA from 1 species
CCUACGGGGCGCAGCAGUGAGGAAUAUUGGUCAAUGGACGAGAGCCUGAACCAGCCAAGUAGCGUGGAGGAAGACUGUACUAAGGGUUGUAAACUUCUUUUAUAGAGGAACAAAAGCGGAGACGCGUCUCCUUAUGCAUGUACUCUAAGAAUAAGCAUCGGCUAACUCCGUGCCAGCAGCCGCGGUAAUACGGAGGAUCCGAGCGUUAUCCGGAUUUAUUGGGUUUAAAGGGUGCGCAGACGGGUUGUUAAGUCAGUUGUGAAAGUUUGCGGCUCAACC